UCCAAAUCCCCAAAUUCCAAAUUGAAUCCCUUGACUCCGUCACCUCUGCGCCGAACCGCCAUCAUCGCUCAUCACCGCCAUCGAUGCCCUGUCGCGCCUCAUCGUCUUCCUUCCGGAUCUGCGAGACGCGGUUCCGUCCGCCUAGCAGCGGCGGGGCUCCAAUGGAAACCGUCUCCGUUACCUCCGUCUCCAGCGAGGGACGAUUGGUGCCAAGAAGAUCUCUCUCCCUCUCGGCUGUACUGUUGCUGUCGCGACACUAGGCUCGCCGGUGCGUGGCCUCAGCUUGCCUCUUUUCCGCCGUCGAUCCACCCCUCCGUCGCAUCGAAGCAGCAGCCCCUCGUCGGUGCUGUCCCCCUUCCAGCGAGCCCAUUGAGCCGCCGCUGCCGAGGACGAGCGGGGGGGGGGGUCCAGCUUCGCGAGGCUCCUGCCGUCGCUGUUCGCAGGAGGUUAGGCUGGACACGGUGCGGUCCGUUGCCGCUGCUGCACGCCGGGGGUGCCUGCGGUCUCGGCUCGCCACCGCUCUUGACACCCCGCCGUCGGAUCACUACCUCUCGUCCAGCGUUUCCGCCUCUGGCGGCACGACGUCUCGGCCAGAGCCAUUCUCCCUCCGAAGCUAAGUUUCUCGUUUAAAAAUUCUCUAGCGUUGAUAAAUGAAACUUGCGAAUUUUCAAUAAUACUGUAACUUGAGCAUUAGGGGAUUUCUCUUGCAUUCUGUUGGGUUUGAUUCUAUUUCAUCGGGGGGGGGUGAGUCUGUGGUGGAAGUUUCGAUUCUGUCGUGAAGUGUGGAUUUAAGGCAUACUCCUAUGUUCUUGAGUUUCUGUCCCUAAGUCCUCAUGCUUUAGCUAUCUACUGUGUGCUACAUGAUGCUAGUAUGGUUUGGAGGAUUUACCUCUUGUGAUUGCUGAGUGAGGCUGCUCUUACUCUUGCUCGAUCCCUCUCUGCCUCAGUUCUUCCUCCCUCUCUUUCGCUUGCUUCUUUGCUACUGAGUUGUGGUAUUGAGAGAGGGUGAAGCUGGGAUUGUUUAUACACCUUUGUCUAACUGAAAGCCUGAGAAAGGCUGGUGUACUUGGCUAUAAUUGCUGGCUGGUUAGUAGUUGUUCCCUCUGCAGUAAAAUCGCAGGGUGUACUCGUGAGUUGGAUGAGCCUUUGGCUCCUGGUUGUGCUUUGAUAUCAUAGCUGGAAAGGUGCAUUAUUCCCUGCAUUCCCUUGCUGUACUACUUAACUGUAUUUGUCUCCACAUGAGGUGUUGUACUAGGUUUAUUCAUUACUUUUGUUGGUUUAUGGCAGGUACGAGUGAAGUACGAGCUGCAGGGACGCAGCCUUGCAGAGUGCAGCCACUGAGGUGAAGUGCUGUUGGCUGACUUACUUCUCCCGGCCCAGCUCUUUCUUAUUUUUCUGAAAGGGACAAGGGAGACCUAUUUCCUCUGCCCCUCUAGUUCGGCCCAUCGGACCAUCGAAAAGAUCUGGGCCGCAAGCCCGUGCUGAAGAGGCCCAACGCUAGUUUACACUUUCCUUUUUCUCUCUAUAGUGUAAUCGAGUAGUUCUACUUGAAAACUCUCUUUUCUUUAACGUGUAAUAGUUAUUUGGUGUGUAUUACUUUUCAAGCAUUUGUACUUUAUUAGCUUGAAAUUCUGAAAUCUUGUACCUCUUUUACUCAAGAAAUAAACAAAUGCUCUUUCAUUUUUUUUAAUCAACAUCUGUAAAUUCAAGGCUUA